UUAUAUAUGCGUAUGUAAUUGCGGGGUUCUAAGUUUUACGGGAAACCCAACCGAAAGUUUUUUACUUAAGAAACUUUCAGUUGGGUUUCCCGUAAAGCUUAGAACCCCGCAAUUACAUACGUAUAUAUAA
rfam:Brassica rapa chromosome A7, whole genome shotgun sequence.